rnacentral:lncRNA from 1 species
AGACAGAAACUUGGAUCUACAUACAGACACACACAUACAGGAUAACUAGGAAUGGAAUAGAUGAAGGUAUGCAUAAGAGUUUGUAGCAAAGUGGAUUGAGGCCACAAUAGAUUAAGUACCAAUUGUUAAAAGAAAAAAAGAAGAAUGUAAUUUAGGACACUCAAACUUCCACAGUGUAUCCCUUGCUUAAAACUUCACUGGCUUGAAUAAGAAAUUGAAUCAGAUGAAUUUUAAACACAUGGCAGGAACUUGGCCCACUAGAUGAAUAUACUCUAUUACUUCAUGCAGUUUCCGGAAGGCUAUUAUCUGAAGAGGUGGGCUUAAAGCAACCUGUGAUUUAUGAAUUGCUCCAGAUGGAUCUUUCUUUCAAAAAAAAAAUGUCCUUAUGAAACAGUUGUUCUGACCAGACUCAGCGAGGGUCAAAGCCGUUCCAGACCCUUGAUUGCCAUGUCUACCCAUCUUGAGUAAAUUGCUAGAAAGUGGCAGUCAAAGCAGAAUUGCCUUAAAAGAGUUGCAAAGUCUUCCUGUGAAAGGUGAGCAGGUGAAAAGCACAUAACAGAUACAUGGGAGACAGAGAAGAUUGCCUGGAAAGAUGAAGGAAAAUGGGAGCACAUGAAGCCCCAAGCAAAAUAGUCACCUCAUACCCACUGUGUUCCCACGGCUCAAUGUCCUGUUAACGCAGUACAGGGAUACAGACAUGGUUUCCACACAGAGUGCCAAAGAGCUACAAUUCUCGGCUCUAAAAGAGCUGAAGUGCUUUCUGCAUUGGUCGCAUUUAUAAUAAUUGAGCAAAAAUCCACCUCUAGAAUGCCUUAAAGGACUCUCACAUCUAAUAGGACAUUGCCCAAGUUGCCACAGAUUCUGAGGUGUCAAGAUUAUCCAUUUUCCUCUGGACUUCAGGAGGUCUCUGAGAGUAGCAGAGGGCUUCAGAGAAACAAAGUAGCACAGCGGGAUAAAUGAAAGUCAGAGCCAUGCUGUGGAAUGAACCACUCAGUAGGGAUGGGGGAAAAACUUCUGAUGCCAAAGUAAGGAAGCAGAAGUAAAGCAGAGAGAAAAUGUUGUCUACCCUGUGGC